AAGUCGGAAUUGCUAGUAAUCGCGGAUCAGCAUGCCGCGGUGAAUACGUUCCCGGGCCUUGUACACACCGCCCGUCACACCAUGGGAGCCGGUAAUGCCCGAAGCCGGUGGCCCAAUCGAGAGAAGGGAGCCGUCGAAGGCAGGCCGGAUGACUGGGGUGAAGUCGUAACAAGGUAAC
rnacentral:rRNA from 1 species